CUUUGUUCCCAUGUUCUGCAUGGUAUGAAGUGUAACAAGGGUGAGGGGUUUAGUGGGGGAGCAUAAUAUGCUUCCGGCACAUACCUAAUCUCCUCCAUGCUCUCCUGUCAUAUCUGGACAGAAUGCGUAGAGAUUUUACGGCUUUAGGGACACGGAAGCAAUGGAAAGUUACAGAUUAUUGCCAUCGGGGCUUGCAUUGUAUGCCUGAAAUCUCCUGCUGGUUUCCUGCGAGGUGACCGGACAGGGAUGACAGCACAUAGACCUUUUGGGAGGUCUGAAAUUGCUCGGACCCAACUAGCUAGAUCUGGACAUUCUUGGAAUAUGACUGUGCGGUGGUAACAUGGGAUGGGAGGACUGUUUGUUUAGUACCUUCAGUCUUGUGACUUUACCAUGUUUACAGUGCAGCUCUGCAAUUUUGCACAUAAAAGAGAGGGUGAACUCCCUCAUCUCAAUACUCCCAACAUUGAGGGCUUUUACUGUCUUUACAAACUGUUUGUUUGUCGAUGGCUUCUCCCAUCUCAACAAGCCUGUUUUCUAAGUCCAGGGGUGAUGCAUGCUUGGACAGAUGCAUGUCCAAGUGUGAGCCAGCUGCCAGGUUUCAGUGACCUCUGUCUGGUGUUAACAGAGCUUUGACAUGGCCAUGGAAAUGGUCGUUCAUGGGUGGAUGAGUGACAGCAGUGGUUUUCAGCUCACAGCGGUGGUCAGAGCUGCCUGGAAUAGCACACCCAUGUGAUCAACAGUCUAUUUGUAGGUGUGUGUACAGAGCGGGCUGCACUUACACGGGUGUCUCAAGAGAAGAGUGCAGUGAGGGGUCUGCUCUCUCGCUCUGUCGCACGCUCGUUGUCUAUGCCGGUGAAGUUUCACAGGUACUUUCAUUAUUCUGUUAGGCCUGUCUCUGAGCUCGGACCUCCAACGCGUCCAAGAGAAGUACCAUGGUUUUGAAGAAGCUGGCAGUCCUGGGGAAGCAGCUCCUGCGAGUGAAGGUGGUGGACUGCAGCAAUGAAGACACGCGCCUCUCACGCUGCCUCAACACCUUCGACCUGGUGGCGCUGGGCGUGGGCAGCACUCUGGGAGCAGGGGUCUACGUGCUGGCAGGCGCUGUGGCACGGGACAACGCCGGUCCUGCCAUCGUCAUCUCUUUCCUCGUUGCUGCGGCAGCGUCCGUGCUGGCUGGCCUGUGCUAUGCAGAGUUUGGCGCCCGUGUACCCAAGACUGGCUCUGCAUAUUUGUACAGCUAUGUGACGGUGGGCGAACUCUGGGCCUUCAUCACAGGAUGGAACCUCAUCCUCUCCUACAUCAUUGGGACGUCCAGCGUGGCACGUGCCUGGAGUGCCACAUUUGACGAGCUCAUUGGGAAUCACAUUGAGCAGUUUUGUCGUACCUACCUGAGCAUGCACGUGCCAGGCGUCCUUGCAGAGUACCCUGAUAUGUUUGCUGUGCUCAUCAUCCUCACGCUGACAGGUUUGCUGGCCUUUGGGGUGAAGGAGUCUGCUAUGGUCAAUAAGGUGUUCACCUGCAUCAAUGUCCUGGUGCUGCUCUUCAUGGUGGUGUCGGGCUUGGUCAAGGGCACACUCAAGAACUGGAACCUGGACCCCAGCAACAUUCUCAAUACUACUAAUUCUUCGUUCAACUCAUCGCUGCAGCUGCCAUCGAAGGAGAGCCUUGGAGUAGGAGGUUUUAUGCCCUUUGGCUUCACUGGAGUGCUGUCAGGUGCUGCUACCUGCUUCUAUGCCUUUGUGGGCUUCGACUGCAUUGCCACCACAGGGGAGGAGGUGAAAAACCCCCAGCGGGCCAUCCCCAUUGGCAUAGUUGCCUCACUCCUCAUCUGCUUUGUGGCCUACUUUGGCGUGUCAGCCGCCCUCACCAUGAUGAUGCCCUACUACCUGCUGGACAAGAUGAGCCCAUUGCCUGUGGCCUUCAAGUAUGUGGGCUGGGAGGGGGCCACCUAUGCAGUGGCAGUGGGUUCACUUUGCGCCCUGUCCACCAGUCUCCUGGGCUCCAUGUUCCCCCUUCCACGCAUUAUCUUUGCCAUGGCGCGCGACGGUCUGCUCUUCUCGUUUCUGGCACGGGUGAGCGAGAGGAAGACUCCCAUCGUCUCUACCAUGGCCGCAGGGUUCAUGUCUGCGGUGAUGGCCUUUCUGUUUGACCUCAAGGACCUGGUGGAUCUCAUGUCUAUUGGCACACUAUUGGCAUACACUCUGGUGGCAGCCUGUGUCCUGGUCCUCCGGUACCAGCCGGAGCAGCCCAUCCAGCUGUACCAGAUGGCCAACACACAAGAUGAGAUGGAACUCAGCGAGUCCAUCGGCACCCUCAGCAUGGGCAUUCUUCCAGGCAUGGAAGAGCGCCUCAGCUUGAAGAACGUGUUCUUUCCUGAAAACCCAGAACCCUCAAAACUGUCUAGCUUUGUUGUCAAUGUCAGCACCAGCAUACUAGGAUUCCUCAUUGUUGUAUUUAGUGUACUAGCAGUUCAAGGAGGGCUUGCACUUUGGAAUGUGAUACUCCUGAGUGUUCUGGUUGUAACCUGCCUGGGCCUCACGCUGGUCAUCUGGAGACAGCCAGAGAGCAGGACGAAGCUGUCUUUUAAGGUCCCCCUGCUGCCUUUCAUCCCAGUGAUCAGCAUGUUUGCCAACGUGUACCUUAUGAUGCAGCUUGACAGGGGUACCUGGAUCCGCUUUGCUGUAUGGAUGGCUAUAGGCCUGGUGAUCUACUUCACCUACGGGAUUUGGCACAGUACAGAAGCUAUUAUGGCCCGUUCCAGUGUUGAGGUCAACCUCAAUGGCUACAAGCCCGCCAGUACUACGGAGAAUCCUAUAGCCCCUGAGAAAGCGGCUUUUCUUGGUGUGGGGAGCGAAGAUGACGGGGAUCUCUAAGGAUCCUGGGGCACUGCCAGCUCCCUGAUUUCCCCCCAUCUAACUUUCUUGUAUUUUGAAAGCAAAUUGUGAUGCUUGAAUGACAUGUUUCAGUCAAAAAAGAGAUUACGGGCAAAUCAAAGGGAACCCAGGCUAACUGAGUUCGGACCGGCCCAAAUCAAAAAAAACACAAUAUUUCAUUUAUUUAUUUUUUGUUUUGUUUUAUGUGGAGAGCAUUUUGCAGUUGCAAAUAAGCUGUCUGUUUUGUUGUUAAUUUUAGAAUGGCAAAUGGAUUACAGCACUCUAGUAUGCAUUAAUAUACAGGUGGUCCUUGACGUACGAUGGGGUUACGUUCCAUGAAACCCAUCAUAAGUCAAAAAUAUUGUAAGUCGAAAAUGCAUUUAAUACACCUGACCUACCGAACAUCAUAGCCUAGCAUACAUGCGAUGGCCAUUACAGGCUUGCCACCUUUAUGCUGGGCACCCUCCUCCUCCUCUUCCCACCAGUAGCAGGAGACACAGAUAGGCAUUUCUGUGACAUUAUGGAUGCACAAAACACAACGUAUAUACCAGGGGGUAUCUGUAUAGCAACCAUGUGACAGACUGGGAGAUGCAGAUUGCUGCCGUUUUCCAGCAUUACAAGAGUAUCGCACUGCAUAUCACUUGCCUGGGGAAAAAGAAAAAAAAUCUAAAUUCAAAGUAUGGUUUCUACUGAACUUCUAUUGCCAGCUCACCAUCGUAAAGUCAAAAAAUCGUAAAUUGGACCAUUGUAAGUCAAGGAGCAUCUGUACGCAGACAUGCAGUUUCUGUUUCUUGGCUGUUAAUUAGGUCCAUUUGCCUUUCUAUUUUGGAAUUCAGUUGACAAAUGUUGCAUAAUUAUUUUAAAGGGCCUUUCUGUCCUCAACUGGCUCAAGAUUCAUCUUUGUGAUUAAAAGCUAUUUCUAGCAAUAGCUGGCUUUUUUUGGGUAGACAACAGUACGGGUUGUUGAAAUGCCUCAGUUCAGUUGGUGUUCUAUGCCAGUAGGGGACCCAAAAAAUAGCACAGAGUGAGCAAUGAUUGUAUUACAUCAAUAAUCAGGUACUGUGUGCCAACCCUGAGGAACCUCAAGUUCAUAACUACAAACAGCUCUUGGGCUGCUAUACUGUUAACUGUAUCAGGGAACGGCUCAUUUUUCACAAGAGACUUUUAUGCUUCAAAGUGCAAUUUUUUUUUAAAGACUACUGAAUGUGACACCUGUCAUUUCUCAUUGAAGAACCGACUGUACAACAUAACAGGUUACUUCAUUUGCAUUAUCUGAGGGCUGACCUGUAAUGUGAGAAUGCAGCUGUGAUGUACUAGUAAAUUAGUAAACCAGUUCUUUGUCUUUGAGUAUUGAAAUGUUAGUGAAAUACAGGCCGUGUGAAUGGAAAGGUUCCCAGCGAACAUUGUUGUAGUAUUUUCACUAUUGCACAGCACUAUGCAGUCUCCCACAUAGAAGUUUAACUCUGAUAGUAGCUAACAGGACAUUUUGUACUGGGAUUACAGUGCUGGUAAUUGUGUCUCAGCUGAAUCAAAUUAAUUUUAUGAUCUGCUAUCCCUUAAAACACAAAUAUGAAAUAUAUUUAAAAAGUUAUACUCUAGAUUUGGAUAUAGAAAAGAAUAGUCUAUUUUAUAAUAAAACCAUAAACUUUAUAUUCA
rnacentral:lncRNA from 1 species